AGCGAACGCUGGCGGCAGGCCUAACACAUGCAAGUCGAACGAACCUUUCGGGGUUAGUGGCGGACGGGUGAGUAACACGUGGGAACGUGCCUUUAGGUUCGGAAUAACUCAGGGAAACAUGUGCUAAUACCGCAUGUGCCCUUCGGGGGAAAGAUUAAUCGCCUUUAGAGCGGCCCGCGUCUGAUUAGCUAGUUGGUUGAGGUAAUGGCUCACCAAGGCGACGAUCAGUAGCUGGUCUGAGAGGAUGAUCAGCCACAUUGGGACUGAGACACGGCCCAAACUCCUACGGGAGGCAGCAGUGGGGAAUCUUGCGCAAUGGGCGAAAGCCUGACGCAGCCAUGCCGCGUGAAUGAUGAAGGUCUUAGGAUUGUAAAAUUCUUUCACCGGGGACGAUAAUGACGGUACCCGGAGAAGAAGCCCCGGCUAACUUCGUG
rnacentral:rRNA from 1 species